CCAAUAGCGUAUAUUAAAGUUGUUGCAGUUAAAAAGCUCGUAGUUGAAUUUCGGGAUCAAUACGUCGGUCGUGCUUAGGUACGUACUGGCGUAAUUGAUUUCUCCCUUCUGACGAACCAUGAUGUCAUUAACUUGGUGUCAUGGGAAAUCAGGACUGUUACUUUGAAAAAAAUUAGAGUGUUUAAAGCAGGCUCACGCUUGAAUACAUUAGCAUGGAAUAAUGAAAUAGGACGUUCGAUCCUAUUUUGUUGGUUUUUAGGAUCAACGUAAUGAUUAAUAGGGAUAGUUGGGGGCAUUAGUAUUCAAUUGUCAGAGGUGAAAUUCUUGGAUUUAUUGAAGACUAACUACUGCGAAAGCAUUUGCCAAGGAUGUUUUCAUUAAUCAAGAACGAAAGUUAGGGGAUCGAAGACGAUCAGAUACCGUCGUAGUCUUAACCAUAAACUAUGCCGACUAGGGAUCGGAUGAUGUUAAUUUUUUAAUGACUCAUUCGGCGCCUUACG
rnacentral:rRNA from 1 species